CAGUGUAUUUUUCUGUCUCGGUUUUAGACUUUGUCGCUUUUGUAUCAUUCUCGCUUUUUAAAACCAACGUUGUGUUGUAAAAAAAUUGGGAUACCCCUGAAUUUCUCUUCUAGAUCCGCCACUGGGCGGUAUGCCCUCAUAGCGCCGGUAUAGCGCCGGCACACCGCCACAAGGGGCGCCAUCAAUCGAAUUUUUGGGGGUGGCGCGAUAAUUUUCGCGGCGCCAUGCAUUUGGCUCGAAGAAGAAGGCAGACAAGGAAGAUGGAAGAAUUAGGGUUUUGUUUUUUAUGGGUUUUGGGCUGGGCUCAAAAGGUUUUGGGUUUUAUUGAGCCAAGAAGCCCAGUUAUCAAUGUAAUGUUUUUAUAAAGUUAGAAAUUAAUUAAAAGGUUUUGUUUUUAA